AUGUCCCCCUUCCUCUUCAUCCUAGCCAUCGAUCCACUGCACCACCUCAUCGCCGCAGCAGUGGAGCAGCAGCUCCUGCACCGCCUCCCUGGUCGUGACCUUGCGCUACGGGUGAGCCUAUAUGCUGACGAUGCCGUCAUCUUCUUAAACCCUAGCUGCGACAAAGUCGACUCCUUGUUGCGAAUCCUAGGUGAUUUUGGAAAGGCAACAGGGCUCUGCAUCAACCCGGCCAAAUUGACAAUCUCUCUGAUCCGCUGCGAGAACAUCAACAUUGGAGAAGCGCUGCAGGGUUUCAAUCAAGGCAAGAUUAGCCGGCUGGAUGGGCAAGCUGAUGCCGUUGGCGCGGGACACUGUGCGCUGGUCCGCUGCGUCUUGAGCGCCAUGCCCACCUUCGCGCUCAGUGUCCUCCGCGUCACAAAGAAGAUCCUCAAGGAGGUCGACAAGUGCAGGCGGCGUUUCCUUUGGCGCCAAGAUGAAGAGAUCACCGGGGCUAGCUACAAGGUCAACUGGCCGACGCUUUUCCCUAGGCUUUUCACCCACUCUCGCCGCAAACACAGAUCGGUCCAGGAAGCACUCAGCGAUGACACCUGGAUCCGUGACCUCACCCACGGAGACAACCAGGACCUCCUCGAGGACGUCCUAGCCAUGCACCGCGAGCUGCAGCGAUCGGCACAACCCCUUCGACCAGGAGUGUCGGACGCUCUCACCUGGAAGCUUGCGAGCUCGGGGACGUAUUCGGCCAGGUCCGCCUACCAGGCGCAGUUUUAG
rnacentral:rRNA from 1 species